AUUGAACGCUGGCGGCAGGCUUAACACAUGCAAGUCGAGCGAGCGUCGGAAGGGUGAGUAAUGUCUGGGCAACUGCCUGAUGGGGGGGGAUAACUGCUGGAAACGGUAGCUAAUACCGCAUACCAUCAGAUUUGCCCAUAUGGGAGUAGCUAGUAGGUGGGGUAAUGGCUCACCUAGGCGACGAUCCCUAGCUUGUCUGAGAGGAUGACCAGCCACACUUGAAAGUAGACACGGUCCAGAAUCCUACGGGAGGAAGUAGGUGGGAAUAUUGGACAAUUGGCGCAAGCCGGAUGCAGCCCGCCCGCGUGUUGGAAGAAGGCCUUCGGGUUUGAAAGGACUUUUAGCGGGGAGGCGUUACUCGCAGAAGAAGCACCGGCUAACUCCGUGCCAGCAGCCGCGGUAAUAC
rnacentral:rRNA from 1 species